CAGAGGCUUUAACCCACUGAGCCACCCAGGCGCCCCUUUAGAUAACAAUUCUUACUACCUAAGUAAAGAAAUUAAACCAACAACUAGAGCCAACGGCUAUCUUCUUGGGCCUACACAUAUCUCCCUUCCCAUCAAUGCUCCAGCUUUCA